UGGUUACUCAGUUUGUGCUGUUUGUAGGUUUGGUGUCUGAUCUGUUAAAAUAGAGAGCAUCAGCUGUAAGAGCUGUGAAAUGAAAAAAGUGAAAGUAACAGACUAAAAACCCUGGUUUGCUUCUGUUGCUUUUGCUUUGUUAUUGAAAACAGAAGUAGAUGCUAGCACAAUAUUUUUAUUUUACAAUGAAUUUACAACUGUGAGAGGAUGUUCAUUAAAAAAAGAUUAAAAUAGUGAACAAAACACCUGUCAGUUGCUUUUGAAAGCUGCUCAGUGCUACUGAACUUGAUAGAUUUUAGUUCAGUUUAUGUUUAAAAAAUGCUUUGCUCUUCUGAUUUAUGAUGCAAUUAGAGUUUUCUUCUGUAUAAGUAUCUGUGUUUUAAAAGUGUUUCACAGAUAAAUGCAAUACACUAUUAUUACAGGAUGAGCUUUAGGAUCAAGCCUGCUGUACAUCUUUUAAAAACAGGCAUACAUGCCACUGUACAUCUUUUAAAAACAGGCAUACAUGCCAACAUUAAAUGUGUGUAUUUAAAACAUACAUCAUUAAUAUAUGUUUUAAAAUUCCUGUUGCUUGCUCAAAACCUUGUCUGCUCUCUUCUUUAUGGGUCAUAUCAUUUCAUCUACUUCCAAAGAGGGCUUCACAUUAAUUUUUAGGAGUUUUAUUUCUAUAAAAAAUGAGGGUUUCUUCACAUUUUAUAGAAAUAAGCUAUUUCAGAACAGUUAUAAUUGAUAUUUUUUUGAUGUCAACUUUUCAAGUUUUCCACAAAAUAUUUACUCAGUCAUUGAAGCCCAUGCUCAAAAAAUACUUGCUUUUGUCAUUAUGUUUGCUCAUGUCAGUCCAAACCAAUCCUUAUUGCUGGGUAACUGCUUUCAAUCAGAAUCACACAGCCAAAGGGAGCACUCGAGUUCUCCGAAACAUUAACUUUUCAUCAUAGAAUAGGAUCUUUGAUGGAUGUAGAUUCACAUAAUCACCUCAUAAAAUUGUUCAGAGUGCUGAUAAAAUUUGAAAUCUUUAGCACUUAUAUAGUUACUGAACUACUGAAAUGAAUCAUCUUUCAAACUGUACGUGGUGAGAAUAUAUAUUUGCUUAGUUACGAUAUAACAUAUUGGUUAUAGAAUUACUUUCUGAAUUCUAAACAAUGGGUAGUUUACCCCUCAUAGCAGUGCUCACUUUUGAAUUUUUUAAUACUUGGAUGUGUAACAUUUGUGACAUGUAAAAAAAAAAAUCAUUGUGGUUAUGGAUUAACUUCAGCUUUAUUACAUAUGGUACCAAAUAAGGAAAAAAGUUUGAAAUACAAUAUUACUUUUUUUAGCAUAUGUAGAGUUAGAGCCUUCUCCUGAUUUCUCACUGGUAUUGCCAUUAAGUUUGUAGGAAAAGGUUUUAUGUGAUUACAUAUCAACUCUAUUAAAUCACUUAAAAAAAUCCUCCUGGUACAAAUUACACUGAUUUUAAUAAUAAUAAUAAGUUCAAGAUGAUCUAUCAAUUGAAGCACACCUUUUUUUUCUAAUGCACCCACCAUUAGUGUCAUGGCAUUUCCUCACAUGAUAAUAAUUUCUCUCAAAAGUACCUAGCAACAUAAACCAAUCCCUAAAUGUUAAAAGAUUAAACUUCGUAAGGUAUAGUUGAUUUAUUUGUAAUUGCAGUGUGAGUUACUCUGGUGACUUGAGGGAUUUCCAGUUCCACUGGGGCUGAUAGGUGCUAAUCAACUUUUCCAUGUUUGGGAAACCACUACAUUAAACAAGAAUUCUGCCCCAAAUGGUUAAGGAAGAUUUUUUUAUAGUGUAUUCAGAACUAGUGAUUUUUUUGUUCACCUACUGAAUGCAAGGAAAGAUUUCUGUUCAUAUCCAAGGAGGAGCACAUUGAAACUGCCAGCAUUGAUCUGGACACAAAAAUAAGCAAUGAGUCCUCCCCAUCUACCACAUGCAGACAGGUCAUGGGUCAUAUACUGAAACAAAUCUCUUCCCAUAAUUAGGCUGAUUCCUUAACAUCAUUGUCUUAACAUCCCUGAUACAUUGAUUUAUACUGUAAAUAUCACUGAAAGAAAUAACAGCAUGCCUGAUGUUCACUAUUACAGGGCAGAGAAGACAGAUAAAGGACAAAUCUUUAGUUGCUAACUUGCUACAACUCCACUGAUUUUAGUGCAGUUAUGGUGAAGAAGAGCCUGACUUGUCCUCAUCUCCAUGAGAAAACAGUCAAUCUGCUUAGUUUUACUGAAUAAACUGAAUCAUAGUAUUAACUAGGUUGGAAAAGACCUCUGACAUUAUCGAACCUAACCUGUAUCAUUACAGUGUUCAACAAUUGGCAGGACAGAGAGAAACCUGAUUUUAUCCUCUGUCCAAACUAGAGACUAUAUUAUUCUGAUUCAUCCAUUCUCUACUUUCCAAUAAGUAGAAAACAGAGCAGAAUGAAGAUAAAGCUGGUUUCACUGGAGGCAGCCAGCUUUUUCAGUUAAAAGGACAAAAUUGAAUCAAUACAACUUUUACAAGGAGAGAUUGAAACUCCCCUUUCCCUCUCCUUCCAUUACUUUGAGAGUGGUUUGACACUGACCAUUAUCUUCCCUCCAACUUCCUUGCCUGGAGCUUUUUCUGCUGGGCAUCUUCACUCCAAAGAUUUUUGUUUGUUACUCAAGCUGGAAGGGGAGGAGAGGAGGGAGAUCAAACUGAAGCAAUGGAUCAGACCAGGGCCAGGCUUAGAAGGAAUUCAUCCACCAGAAACUUGGAGGGGAGAGAAGGCAAAAUGAAGGAUCCACUUUGCAUUUCUGUGUGCAGAACAGCUGUCAAGUAGUAGCUAUGCAGAGAGAUUUUCUAAAAGUGUGGGAAACUUUUUAAAAAUCAGGGAACUGCAUAAAUCAAAGUCUUUGAAAGGACACACUCUAUUCCUUUUCCUACAUCAUGCACUGAUUGUAUCUUGAAUUAAUAACAUCUCUUACAGAAAUGUUUUUCUUUUACUUGUGAAUAGAAUCAGCCAUUGUUGCAAUCUAUUUUAGACACCCUUAUUCCUUUCUUAUUCAUUAAUCUCUAACAGUCUCCAGAGCUUGUUGUUAUCUUUCAAGUGCUUUUUCAGAUACAAAUGUCAUGUUUUGUAUGUGAACGUCCUAUGAACUCCAUGCCUUUUGGUUAGUAGGACUCACUGGUGUCUAUAUAUCUUUAAACUCAAUAGGCUAUCAAGGGUAGGUUAAAAUAUUUGAUCCUUAGUUUCUCCUACUGUGAUGCAAAGAAAAGACCAGUUCACUUACUGUUAUCAAUGAACAUAUUUGGCUGCAAAGUCAGCUUUGUGAGUAAGUAAUUUAUUGCUUUAGCUGCAAAUUAGAAACUGGUUCAGGGGGUAAAUAGAGAUAGUUUUUAAUAGAGGUAGUUUUCUGCCUUAGGAUAUAUCUGCUCUGUGCAGGUAAAGAAAGGUCCGUUUUUUCUAUCUAAUCUAAUCUGGAUUGACAGAAGUCACCUCCAGUCCAAAAGUCAUGUUAGCGACCUUAUCUGUUCUGUCACACAAACUUCUAAAAUAUGGCCUCUUUCAUAGUUCAGAUACUUAAAAGCACAGAGAAGAUGUUUGGUCUGUCUGCACCUCUCUGUGUUAACAUGUUGUCAGUUACCCUCACAGCUUAGCAAAGCCAGUAAGGUUUAAAAUAUUGUCUCAAGUGCAGUGUGACUCUCACUCUUAUGAUAUGGGGAAAGACAUGCUGCUGAGAAAUUCUCUAUUGCAUCAUAUUUUCUAAGAAAAAGACACCAAAAAGCAUGGGAAUUUUCUCCUUCUCUGCAUGUGUCUGACAUGAAUUAUUCUAAUUGGAAUGUCCUCUCCAUCCACUGGAAGCUGUGUUACAAGUCCAGCUCCCAACAGCAUCUCCUAUGCUGCUCCCUCCCCUGUAUUAUUUCUCUCAGCCAAACAGGGUGCAGUGUAGCAUAAUUCCACAAUAAACAGAAAGGCAAAAAUAUGCCAUGCACCAGUACCUGCCCCAUUCCCUUUUCUCAGCAGCAGCUUAUAACACCUGUUCUCAGAAAGAUGUUCAGUUAACACGUGGUGAAAUGACCACAUCCUACUUGUCUUUUUUUCAUCUCCAGACCAUGCAGAACUGAAAGAACUACUUUAUUCUGAGUAACCCAACCCUCCUUGUAAACCUUGACAGAAAUUCUGGAUUCAAGGUCUCUAAAGGACAGUCAGUCUGUAGAAGUAUCAAUAGAUUGCACAGUGGAGAAGAGUUACUUCAGAAAUCUAGAUGUGCAACUGCAUUCAGUUCCUGCUUUAAAUCCAACCUGGAUCCAAAUAGAUGUAAAAACUGAGGUGUGAAUUUCAAUAUGCUGGUUUAUACAGAUACGUUUCUCUACGCUUAUGUUGGAUGCAAGACAGGCUGUGAAACUUACUGAAACUUGGGACCAUUUUAAUACCCAGUCUCAGGGUAGUAGAUGAUGUUCUAUUUACUCUUCACCUAACCUCAAAGAGUAGACUUCUCCAGGUGUGGGAGGAUGGUUAUGUUUGGAAAACAAUGUUUUGAUUAGCCUUAAUGUUAUUGUACUGAAAGUGAAAUUUUUACUUUGUUUUGCUUUCCUUUUAGUUUAGCAGUUUUUCUACCUGGACUUAAUCAUAUGCUGCACAAAUCACAUAAAAGUGUGAAGUAAUGUGCUUGGUAAAGAACAACAAAAAUCAUUCUUUCAUGUCAAAAUUAGAGAAAUCAAGCUUUUAUUAGGAAUAAAAUGGGACAAUUUUAGGAAUAAAAUGGAACAAUUUUAGGAAUAAAAUGGGACAAUUUAUGUAAAAGUUUUGAGGAAGGACCUGUUGGUUUAUGAAGAUCUUUUCAUCAACUGCUUUCCAUGGACAUCCUCAGGGAAUUCUAACAUCCAGAUCAACUAAAUCCUUGUGGAGUAGGUAACUUUAGAUCCACAUCAGUCUGAAUUAAAAAUCUAGAUGUUGUGUGAGAAAUGGUGAGAAAUAUGUAAGAGCUGUUAAAAAUAUUAGCAGGAAUGUUUCUGUAAGGAUGACAUAUGUCCUGUCUCUUCAUGUGGGAGUUUACAGAUCCCCUCUGGUUCAGGAUCAUACAGGAUAUUUGCCUUCUAACUUGGGUAGGGCUCCUUUUGGCCACACUGUUUGGGGAGAACCUUUCCCUGCAAUCAUUAUAUCUUCUGCUUUGUAGUGUUGAUUUAUUUUUUUCAAGAAAAUAUUCAUACUAAUGGUCAUUUUAGAUUGACUAUGUGCAGGUAGAGUUUCCUCUUGUAUUCAUCUUUGCAAAGGUAGAGUUUAUUUUGAGCAUCAUUUGAAGUUUCUAUAAUUCUGAGUAUUCAUUUGAAGGCGGUUAUUUAUCAGGAUAUUUCUUGGCUGUUUCUGGCCAAAAUCCAUGUAUUUUGAAAGGAAAGGAAGUGUUUUCUCACAGAAUAUAAAUACAGUCACCAAAAAAAAAAGGGUUGGUAACAUAUAUUUGAUACCUGCAGCAAAGUCUGCAUCUUACCUCCUUGCAUCUCUGAAUAUGGAUACCAGGAACCCCCUACAGAAUGCUGGAUUGAGCAUUUUCCCUGUGCACUCUGCCACUGCUCUGUGCCCAGGCUGCUUUUAAACUGUAGCUCUGGAUAAAAUAAUUCAUUUUAAGAUGACAAAAAUUUGGUAUGACAAAAUAUGCUUCUGAAAAAUGACUACACUUGUUCAUCUGAGUAUAGGUGUGGAGAGAAAAGCAUCACCUACUCCCCAAUGUACUGUGGUGCUGAGAAUCUAGGAGGCCUUGCUGUUGGAAUAAGAUAUUUGCAGACAUGAAUAAUCAUUGCCUAAAAUUCUAUAGAACAAGAUUUAAUAACAAUAUGUCAGAAUGACUGAAUGAAAAAAAAAAUCCAUGAUAAUUACUGAUUGGAAAUAACGCAGUCAUUUUUAGUCUUUUGAAUCUUAAAUUAUUUGCUCCAUUUUUGAUGCAUUUUUGAUGAGAAUUCUUUGGCCAUUUAUAUUAAUGAGAUAUGUGAAAUACUUGGUGAUUUUGUAGGGAUAUAUGUAUCUGAUUAUGUGUAGAUCUAUUUGAAACAUUGACAUUGACAAAGCAACUGAAUCUGUUCCAUUUAAUGCAAAAAUAAUAGCAUAAAUUGGAGAUAUUAUGCUACAGUUUUAUUGCCUACUAUGCAUUUUAGCUCAUAAUAAAAAUACUUACAGAAUUACCUUGGGGAAAAACUGCAAAAGCAGCCAUAAAGCUCAUUUUGCAGUCUUAUCUGUAUAUCUGCUUCAUGUUACUAAAGCAGUAUGAAGAAGCACAAAUGAGACUAUUCUGUUUAUAGAAGUGAAAAAUGUCCUUCCAAAGUCUAGUUGGUGAACUUUUAGAAAUAGGCCAAUAGUAGUUUGACUGCAUGUGUAUGCAUUUGUGUACAUUUCAUGAAGAAAGAGGAAAAAUUUAAAAUGAAGCCUUUGUGUACCAAAUUUUAACAGUAAGUAAAUUUUAACAGAUAAGGUAUCUCAAAAAAACAAUUACAACAUGGAAGGUCUGACAUCAGUACAAAUAGGUAAUUUUAAUGUUUCUUUUUAAAAAAGGUAUUACUGGUCAAUGUCUCUAAAUUAUGCUACUGCCAAAUAAUAUAUAUUUUCAUAUUAAAAGGUUUCAGAUUGAUUAUUUCAGUUACAGUUCAGAUUGAUUAUUUUAUACUUGCUUGUAAGCAGAUUGAUAGAUUCCAUAUGUGCAUUUGACCAAUUUUUGAAUAUAUAUAUAUAUAUGAAGAGAUCUUGACUAUUUCUUGAUAGAUAUCUACCCUUAUUUUGAGAACACUUUCAGUCUUCCACUAAUCACUCAAGAAAGGAUAAGUUACAUUACAUGAAACAAAUCCUUGUUUAGACAACAGGGCUUUAAACAGCUUUCAUAAAUUAGAAGGAAGGAUAGUGAUCACCGAAAUGAGUCAAACCAAAAUGGAGUUUUUUGAUGCUCCCUAAGGAGGCUUGUUCCUUGCAGCUAAAACUUCUGGAUUUGAAGUGGCAGAGUGGAAUUAGAGAAAUUUGAGAAAAUAUAGUUGAGAAGAAAGGGCAGAAAGGUUUGCUUAGUGGUCAACAACCAAAUUAUAAGUAGCAAGGUAAGGAGGACCUCAAUUUUUUUUUUUUUAAUAUAAAGCACAAAAGUUAGGAAAAUAAUUACACCUGAGUGUUUCAGAGAAUUAGAUUUCUAUAUGUCGUAUGUCAAUCUACAUUUGAGCAUGUACUCCUGAGCAAGGAGAGGAAAUGUAGCAUUCCCUGCUCAAAACCAAAUUUUGUAUUUCUGUGUGAUCUAAUGGGACCUCCUUACUAAGCUGUGAUUCUUCAGAUGGUCGUAGUGACAGAGGGGCUAAUUUCAGCCUAGAUAUAUCUGAAAAAUGUCACCAUAAUGUUUAACCUGUGUUCUAGCAGUUUGAUCUGUAGCCUUCUUGUAUUGUAAAUAUUUUAGAUUUCUUUGUUUCUCAUUAAAGAGAGUAUUCUGGAUUUUAUACAUCAUGAUGAAGUUUGAACUAAGGCAGUGUGUGCGUUAACAUUUGUCUUGCAAAGUUAUAUUUAUGAAGAAAUUAUCUGAAUUUCUUCCAUUGAGAAUAUCCCACUUGAUGUGAAAUAACAUUCCUGGGGAAAGUAUCACUUUCUACAAGUGGUAAAGCAGUGGUACACUUUACAUUGACAUACUUACUGCUAGUUCCUUUAUAUAAGAAUACUUGUGGUUAAUAUCCUGAGACUAUUAGCUAAUCUGCAAUCGAUAUCACACUAUAUUUCUUCUGUAUUUUGAAUUGUUUAUAAGUUUCUUUAUUAUUUCCCUGUCAGACAGGUGCCAUUUGUCAGCAACAUCAAUUAUAUAAUUAAAAGAAUCACAAAUAAAUAGACAGCAGGAUUGACAUUCAGGAACUCUCACUGUGAUUUCUUUCCUUUUUAAAAUUAGAAAAUCUAGAAAAUGGUAAAAAUGGUUAACUCAUGGGUUGUUGUGAGAAUGAGUAGAUUGAAAAAGUAGCAUCCAGUGCUAAAGUGGUGAGGCCAUAUGAUGAGUAUUGAGAGGCAGACAUCAAGAUGUGUAUCUCUUAAUCUCAUUGUCAAAACCCAGGUUUGACACUUGAGCAUGGUGAGUGAUAAUAGCUUCAAACUGUUGAGAUGUUUUAAACCAAAAAGUCACUCUGGAUCUAGAUAGAAAGGUGCUUGCAUUAGUCAGCAUCCAAGACUCCUUGUUUUUUACUAGGAAUAGCAUAUAUUUUCUUGUCGAGAAAGCAGGUGGUUUAAUCUCAUGUUACAAUAAAAAUCUGUUUUAAAAUAAAUUACAGAUUUUGACUGUAGCAUGGUGAGUACAUUAUUUUGUACUUUUAUACACAAUCUGCAGUUACAAAUGCUUCAUAUUACCUAUUCUUCUUAAGACAAACCUUGCAGUUUCUUCUUUGUUUGUUAUGAAGAAUGUAUUUGAACUCAUAUGUAUAUAUGUAUAGAGAAGUAUGCACUCCUUUAUGAGAUAUGUAGUACAUAGGAUGCAUUUAUACAUAUAUGCAAUGAAAUAUGUAUGGGAAAUAAUUUUAGAUUUAAAUUUAUGGUGAACUAAGUGCAGGUAGAAGAAUUUGCCGUAUUUCAUAGGCUGAAAAUCAAAAAAAUUACCUUAGGUGGUUAUUUGAAAUAUUUCAAAUACAGGGCUUAUUUCUCAGUCUCUUACUCAUGUGAAUAGUUUUUUAAUACAACAAAUUUGUAAUAAAAAUGCAUUUUUAAUUUCAGCAUGAGGUGCUUUUUUGUUAUUAAAGUGUGGCAUUUUCCUAUGGAUUUGAUUUUUCCAUACAUAAGAAGUAGAAAUAAUUUUAAUUUAAAAUUUUAGAAUAAAUUAUAAAUAAUUUGAAAUAUUUUUUCUUAGUUUAAUGUUGUAUAUAGGGUUUUUCUUGUUAUAUUUCAAUAAUGAUGCUCUGCAAACACAUUUUUCUCUGUUAUAUCUGUUAUAUAUAUAUAUAUAUGUUAUAUUUCAAUAAUAAGUAUAUGCCUUAUAUUACUUCAAUUCUUUCUCUCUCUGGUCAGUCUUUCGUCCUCAUUGCUGAAGUCACUAAAUGGAGCCAAAUCAGUUAACUUGCAAUAAUCAUUUUGGAGAUGGAUUCAGCCCCUGAUCCUUGGGUAGAUCAGAAAACUGUAACUUUUCUACUGGUUUUUCUCAGUUGAAGUCUAAUGCACUGUAGUAAAUACAGAGCAUCUAAUGUAUAACAGAGAUUUACAUAUGCCCAUCACUUUACUUCCCCAGAAUACUGUGCACAAAGCAGCAUUCCAAAUAUAGCAACCAACACAAAAGUGUAGGCUGUUUUUAUGGAAGCAGAGAACUUCUGUGUAUUACCAAUAAAUGGAAGCUUCAUUGUGUACCCAUAUAUUACCAUGAAUUUGUGCUUCUAGCUUUUUUCUGAAUGGAGACUAAAUUGCUGAAAAUAAUGUCAUUAAAAGCUUUUAUUCAGAUCUCUUUUAUCCAUGCCAGGUUAAACUUGUAUCUCAUAGACAAAUGCUUGAAUAGAAGUAUCUGAACUAUUAUAAUUAAGUAAAAUCCUGAGUAGCAAAUUCUUGCUCUUAUGAAUUUUAUUAAAUGGUGCAAUUUUGUGUUAUUUGUAGAACAAGGUACAGUAGUUGCAACAAUUCUAUUGGUUAUUAUUUUUAAAAUUAGAUUUUCUGCCUAAAGGCUUUACAGUUCAGGGCUGUUUCUCUUUGUACCACUUCAGAAGUGGCCAGAGAAAGGCUGGCAACACAGGGAGCAGCAAUCUUACUCGAGUUCUCUGCUGCUGAGAAGGAACAAGGAGCAGCAGGUCAAUAUUUAUGGCAGCUCAUACUUUCUGCACUCUGCAUGGCAUCCCAAUCCGGGAUCUCUGAUGGGAGGGAGAGGGAGGAGAUUCGGUGCAAUGCCCACGUGAAUAAAAAGCAGAACUGAGUGGGUUCUCCAGUAAGUGUUGAGGAGGUGGCAAAUGAGAUAACAUUUGCAUGCAACAGCAUGACUAAGCACGAGUGUUUGUGCUGUACAGAUAGGUCAGCCGUGCCCAAUAGCAUUGCAAUGCGGGCACAUUUUUAAGGAGGGCUUAGAACUAAGUCGUUAAUCACAGCAUGGUUUGUUAAGGACCUGAUAAUGUCAGCAGAGUGGAUAAAAACAAGAACAAACAUGGGAUGGAGGAGAGCAGAUAACACCACCAAAAAAUUAAACUGUUUAGGAUUUUCUGUGCUUGCCAUGUCCAGGGAAGUAUAGUUAUUCACUGCUUUGGAUGAUAAGUGAACACUUGAAAACCAGCUGGUUUCAAACAAAGAAGCUUGGCGAUGCAGGACUACAAAGAAAGAUCCUCUGUAUUUUAGAAGACUUGAACUAUGAGUUUUGGGGCAGAUCUCAGAGGAAACAUUUCAGCAAAUUAGGGCACAUCAGUUCAGUUCCUAGAUAUUGAUCUUUGUGAUCCAGUUUAGACACCUUCAUUUGAAAAUGCAGUUUAAGCUCUAGUGAUUAUUUGCAUGCUAUUUAUCCUCAACAUAAAAUCCUUUUUGAUGUUUCUUUUAUGUUUUUUAAGUUGUAUGAUCAGUCUCUUCAUGGAGAUGAAUCCAGACAUGUCUAAAUCAUGUGGUUUGAUGUGCAGUGGACUCAGAUAUCCAGGAAGCUUCUUGGAAAGUACAUUAAAUUACUUCACACUGAGAGAACAGUUUUUAUAGUCUUGGUUUAUGAACAAUCUCCCUCAUUCAUGUUCCAAUAAAGACUAGUUUUACUCUGCAGGAAGUAUGAAGCAUUAUUUAACACCAAAUGAUUCACAGUGUGUUACUGCUGUACUACACAGUUGUACAUUUCUGAGGAAAAAUUAACUUAAUAAUAGUUUUAUUACUUUAAUCCCAUGAUAAUUGAGUUCAUAAAUUCUUGCUUUGCAAUGUAUUUGAGAAUGGUUAAGAGAGUGUAAUUUUAAAAAUUGUUGGAACCCUGUGUUAUCUCCGGCUGUAUAUUUUUAAAGAAAAGUAAUGUCAUUCAUAUUUUCUGUGCCUUUCUUUUCAGCUGUGGUCUUUUUGCAAAACAUUUCUCUAAGCUGAAACCAUAGUUCCUGAAAAAUUAUAUAGAGGAUUUUUGCUAAAGGUCUUCUUGGCUCAUUAUGCAAAAGAGAAAGGAGAAGAAAAUUAACAAGUUAGAAUUGAGGUUUUGCUUAUUUUUCUUUUAUGGUUAUGUAGAGAAACUGAAAACACAAAUUUUUCACAGAACUAAAACUCAGGAAUUCAGGGGUUGAUAGAAAUGUGAACUGACAGAAUAUAAUAAGCCUUCACCUGACUUAAUGCUUUCUGGUUAUCUUUUUUAAUAUCCAUUUUACUAUUUGAUGAAUCUUUUAUACUUGAAUCAUGUAAUGCUAAUCAUGUACUUGAAUCAUGUAAUCCUAAUGCUUGCAAAAAGAAAAAAAAAAAAAGAAAGAAAAAAGGAGUAAAUUUCUAUAUUCUUACCCUAAAUAUAUUCCUUUAAUAUAAAUUUAUCCUCUUGUCAUCCUCAGUAGCUUGCACUUUUCAAGAGUGCAUGGAAGGUUUAAAAGCGGAAAAAAGUGCCAAGCUCUCUUAAAGCUGGGAUCCAGAGAAAUUCAAUAGUGGACACAUUCUAAUUGAAAAUAUUCAUGUGACAACCCAUGUCUUUUGAAAUUUUGAAUUUUUGAAAGCUCUUUAAAAAGAAUUCUGCUAAGCUAGUACAUGUGUUAAGACGCAGAGAGAUGUUUAAGGCCUAAAAGUAGAUAAAAGUUGGAUAUCUGAACUUCCUGUCCUUCUAUAAAGACAUGAAUUGCACUCUGGUUUUUCAUACUGACAGAUAUGUGCAUGUUUCCUCCGGCACAUCUUUUCCAAAUACUAAACAUCUUGUUUCCAAAACAUUGCUUUACAAUGACAGCAGAGAGCAACUCAAGUUAUUGUUUGGUAAUUUCAUGAUAAUUAAAAUGCACUCCAGACUGGGUAUGCUUUGGGGAAGUCAUUAAUCUUCCUUGAAUUAUCAUGUCUUUGAAUGCACAAAUGUCCAUUAGGUGUAUGAAAUUAAUCAUGUAAAAUGAUAUAUCUAACAAAUUAAGGUGGUCAUGCUCUCUGUGAAAUGAGGAAAGCAAAUACACUACAUAUUUGCUUUCCAUAGUACUAUGAUUAUUUUAUUGCAAUAGAUGUUGGGAUUUUCUAAAAACUAGUUUUGUCUGUAGAUAAUUUUUAAUUUUAAUUGCAAAUCUUCCUGCACACACCCAUUGCACACCCUUAGAUCCCCACCCCCAAAAAAGGCUGGUAUGCGAUCCUAUUUACAGCUAAUUCGGCUUGUUUUGUGGAAGAUCAGCCAGUGCUAAAUGCUCAGUAAGUGUAUUUCCCUUAGUGUCUGUCUGUUCAUGUGUUUGACACCAUCAGCUAUUUGUCAUUCAGCAGGAUAGAAAGUAUCUCAGAAAGUGCUAUUUUAAAUUAGAAUUGAAAGCUUAGAUGUUUUUUACUUCAGUCACCAUAUCUGUCAUCCUGAAGUCCUCAGAAAUGCCAUGUCUGUCAAUUGGAGUGAGAGGAGGAUGGGAGCAACCUCUGAGUAGCUCAGUGUUACCUUAUUUCUUGUCUUCUGUGUAAACCAACACGUUAAAGACCAAGUUGUUAUACUAAAGUGAGAGUUAAAAUUAACUUUUAAAAAUGCCUUUCUUGAUGUUAUGGUAGCAGAUAGUGUUUUAUUUCAAUCAAUGAAUAAAACACCAUUUGUUGAUGCUACAUGUUUUAAGUUUUUUCACUUACCCUCCUAGAAGUAGUAGGACAUUAAAAAUUAAAUAGCAAAACUGAAUUCAAACUUCUGUGAUUUACAACCAUUGCUGAAGGGGACAGAUUCAUGAGAAGGACUGGGCUGGGAUUAACUAAAGCGAUUGUCCUUCAAAUUAUUAUGACUAUAUGAUAAGGUACUGGAUUAGGAAGGUGUGAAUUUGUGAUAUGCAGUGGAUGUGUAAUAGGCUUAAAGAAGGAAAGAAGGACUGUUUGUCAAAUGUAUGUCAAAAAUAUCAUGACAGCCUCAUAGUUUAAGAUUAUGUUUCAAAAAUCUGUUUUAAAUGAAGUUGAGUCAAAAUGAUCUGAAGGUUGCCUACAGAGCUCUUUAAUGGUGAUUUAUUUUGUGGUUGUACAUUGUAAUAAUGAAUAACAAAAAGCUUCCUGGAGCAAGAAUGAUCUAAGUAUUGUAAAUGUUAGCCACCAAGACAAUAUUUGUCCACAAAUUCUGGAAACACCUCUAGGGACUCUAAAUAAAAAGAAAGAAAAGAAACUAUGACUAAUUAUUAAUAUCCACAACUAAAUUGGUAUAAUUAAUUGAAAAAUAAUAACUGUCAAAGCAAACUAAAAAAGGUACCAUUUCUGCCAAUAUUUAUUGGAUUAGAUCUUCCUGUUUUCUCUAAAUUGGGUACUGCAGUGGUGCUGCCUUUUCUUCUGAUAGCUGUGUUCACAGGCUGGAUGUACACAGCAGCCCUGUCCUCAUUUAAAGCUCUGUCUGACCUGACUUUAACCUUCAGUCUGGUGCUGGCUCCAUGGGACAGACGGACCACUGGCCUGGGAGCUGCAGCUACGACAGUGCCGGGCAUGUUAGCAGGGUAUGUUGCUCUGGAGACAGACAACCUCUUCCCUCCCCUUUCCCUGUGUAUAUUUAAAAUACACUCAGUGCUAUGUACACAUCAUCAGCAAAGCAAAUUUCAGACAGCAGAGACUAUGAAUAAUAUUUUCAGUUUAAUCGAAAUGAAAUUUAGGCUAAAAAAAACCUCUCUCUUAUUAUUCCUUCUUCAAAUAUUUUAAAUUAGGUUAAUACACGCUGAGGCAUUUUACCUGUCAAAUUCAAAUGAAAGCAGUGAACCAUAUGCUGGUUAUUUUUCUGAAUACCUGUUUCAUGUGAAAGCUAUUUUUGAUAAGAACACACAGUUGUGAUAAUUUAUAGAAUACAUUUAUAAUGUAUAUCUACUCAGGGUUUGUCCUGCAUUUUCUGCCAAUUUACAUUUCUUCAUUAAGAAUCCUGAAUUAUAUUCUUCAUUGUUUAAGCUAUCAGGUGUUUAGAAUACAUAAGAAAUGCAAAACAUGCCCUCCCUAUUGUUAUCAGGAAAACAGUGAUCUUCAGACAAUAUGAAUAAAUUACUGUUUUUCAAAGAGUAGAAAGGUCAGAUUUUACCUCUCUGUUCUUUGCAAAGUGAAAUUGUCUGCUUGCUCCUGUUAGUUUAAUAAGACCUAUUAAUAAUAUAGAACUUUCUGGCUAGGAGAAAAAAAAUCAAAUGUCAAAGGACUUUCAGUCCCUUUUCAGAUGAUGCACAAAUUUAUCCAUUCACAAAAUUACAUUAUGAACAUGAGACACAAAAUAUUACCAUUUUGUUUUGAUUAUGGUUUUUGUUUUGUUUUGCCUGGUUUUGUUUGCUUGCUGGGUUUUUUUUACUGGCACAUGUGUAGUAAUUGAAAGACCAGUUUGGUUUAAACAAAUCCUGUAGGCAAACUGCUGCAUCACACUGGCUGACUGUUUUAAUAGUUGUGAAGAAAUGUAGAUUUCCUUACAACUUUCUGGGCAAUUAAUUUGUAGUAAAAUCACCUCUAGGCUUGUUCUGCAAUCUUUAAGCUUUCCUUGAUCAUAUGCUAGCAGAGAAAAAUAUCUUAGCAAAGGCAAUUGGCUUUGGGACCCUUUCUGCCUCAGUAAAGAAGUGAUGUGUCCAUCCCCAGGAGACAAAAGGCCUGGAGACCUUCUGCAGUACUUGGGCUGUUAUCUGCUGCCCAGAGGAGAUGAAUAUCUCAAAAUGAUGAUUGUCUGCUGCAUUGAACACACACAGAAAUGUGUUUUUCAAGGUUAUCUAUGAGUUGACUGAGCUGUAGUGCUUUUCAUCUAUUCACUACUUUAUUUCUCAUUAGGAAACUUCAGUCUUCUGUGGUGAGGUAAUGUUGGAUUUUUGUUCAUUUAAAAGAUAAAUAAUUAAAGUUGCUGACCAAGGCACAAAUAUUCACCUUCUUUUUACUGGUAAUUAUACAGAUGUAGAUAAAUUUUCUAACUUAUUUAUAGUUGUUGUUCAGUUUAAAAAUUAUUCAAGGAAAUGUACAAUAUUGUGGUAAUUAUAUAUGGUGCAACAUUGACUAUCUCCGUAAAUAACAGAGGUAAUUGAAUAUAUGGUAUAAUUUUUUAUACAAGCAUUUAUAACAGUGACAAAUUGAAAAGUACUAUAUUUUAGAAGUUCUUCUUUGAGAAAGGCCAGACAAAAUGAAUUGAUUUAGCAAGAAACAAACUUUUCCCUUGGAAUAAGUUCCUAUUGUUUCCAAGAUAAAUGGUGAAAAAGCUGUACAAAAUUGCUAAGAGGAAAAGGGAUAUGAACUAUUCUUCUGAAGCAGUCUGCAUUUUUCAGCCCUGGAGGUUACUCUAGCUACAGCUGCCAAUGCAGAAGUUAUCUUGACUUCCAGGCUUUCAGUUCUUUUCUAAAAAGAUUUUUAUCAGUAAUAUUUCUCAGUGAGCAAGAGAAAGCUCAUCUGUUUGAGAGACAACUCAGUUACCCUCACUCAAGGUCAACUAAACUUUGGAAUUUUCUUUAGCCAAAGGUUCCAACCUAACUUACUAAAAGAAGCUUUAUCAAGCUUUAGAAUGUGAAGCCAUCAUAAUUCCCUUGUAUUUAGAUCCCUUUUGGUAAACAACUAGAUGUUCAUCAUUAUCCAUCUUUUCAAAGACAGUAAAGUCUAACUUUUCUCCUCACAAGUUGCCUGAUUGCGCUAAAGAUGGCACCUUAUUUAUUUCUAAAUAUGUUUCCACACAUUACAGGAAUCAGUGUAGAAAAGAAUAAACCAUGACCAGGAUUCAUGUCCAGCUCCUGGCUUUGUGAAAUUGGUCCCAUCUGCACAGAUCUGUUAUGACUGCAAUGACUGGAGAUUGAGAAAGGUUAAAGACUGAUGAAGAGAGUAUAAUUGUGUAAUUUUCCAGCAUUAUUCUUCUUGUAUACUUAAAAAAUACUUGUUCAAGGAGAAAGGCUGGAUGUCAGACUGACAUUUUCAGUUGGGACCAGAAUAAACCAAAUAUGAAAUUACAUAUGCUUUUCUGACCAGUCUUUAUAAAAAUAUUUUGCUUGAACUUUUACUGCCAAAUGAGACUGUAACAUUGUCUGUCCUAAAAACUGAUAACAAAGGUUUUCCUAUGGCACUAGUGUUGGUAAUAAUAUGCCUCACCUUUUUAGUGGUUUAAAACUAAACACUUGAAACUUCCUGACCAUUAAUUUCUAAAGAUACAAUCUCCAAAGAAUUUCAUGCUGCAGGGUGAUAGGCACAUUUCUUCUCUCCAGGAAAACAAUCACAGGAAUGUGUAAAUUAAAGGACAAUUAUUUCCAUUAAAGUCUGAAUACUUACAGAUCAGUUAAGUGAACUUUGUUUAAACUUAGAAAAACUGAAAGCUAGAAUAGAGUCAGAGAAACUAUUACUUGGUAGGGUCAAAUACAUGAUUAGCCAUUCAGUCUAAUUGAUGGUGUUGUCUUGGGUUUACCUAGAAAAUUAUCAGUAGUGAAGAUGACAGGUAUGAAUAAACAUGAGUGAAAAUCAACUCAGAGACUUCUCAUCAGUAGCAUGUGGUGUCACUGUAUUAUGGCACUAAAAGUAAGAGAUGUUUGCAAGACACAUUCAUUAUAAGAAACCCUUAUUUAAACCAGGUUUGAUGUUGCUUCCAGUGUACCCAGAAAUGUACAUUAGUCAUCAUUAUAAAAUCAACCUUUCCCAACAAUUACCAGAGUGAUACAUGGAUACUGCUGUUGUUUCAUGGACACAAAAAAAGCAAAUCCAUCCCUGCUAUUUCUGAGAUGAAAAGCAUAAAUAAAUCCUGCAGAACUCUGAGCACAUGGCUGUGGUAGAGAUGAGGUAAUGACUGGAUUGCUGUAGAAAUUUAUGGAUCUUCAACAAACCAUGUUAAAAAUGUACUGUAUUAAUAUGCAGAGUAAGAGUGGCUCUUCCAUAAGAAAAAUCAAAUUAGGAAAUUAAAUUAUUGUGGGUUACUAUUGUGGUCUUGUUGGUACAAAAAUGUCGUCUGAGAUGAUUCUUCCUGUUACAGAAUGUAAUAAAGUAUUUGGGCUCUGUACAGCUGUGUUCUGCUGUGGGGCUAGUGAAGAAAGGAAUGCCUUCAGAAUAGCUCCUGGCUUUUUUGUGAGUCUGGCAGCCUAAGGAGUGCUUAAAAAGAAAUAUUAUCACCUCUGGAGCAGGCAUGAGCAAUUACUAGGUGUUUUUGAGGUGCUAUUGUAUCAUCAGUUCUGAAAAUUCUACUUUUUUUUUUUUUUUUCUGAUUCUUAACUUUCCUUUUGGAAAGUUCUAUGAACCUUCCUUGUGGAAGGUCCAUAGAAAUCUCAUCCCAAAAUUACUUGCAGCACUUGGUUGCACUUAGAGGCUUAAUUUCAAUGAUUUCAUAAAUACUGGGAUGAAUAAAAGAAUGUGUACUAUAUAUAUAUUCAAGGUUAAUGAAGGUUCACUGAAAAUAAUAGAUAAAUGUAAUUCUGAUUUUUCAAAAAUAUCACUCCAGUAUUCGUGGUAUUGUCACUAAUAUUUUGGCAGCCUCAGAAGUUCAUGACAAUGUCAUAUCAGUCUGUGCUAAGGGGACCCUUCAUCUGGAUAAGGGUCCAUUUCAUCUGGAUACUCCAUUUCAUAUCCUUGGCAAAUCAAAACCCCUUUUUUUUCUCAAAACUUAAUUAAACAGAGUGGUGUGAAAUUGGUCUGAUCUGCACAGAUCUGUUAUGAUUCUACAGAUCCAUCUGGUGGGACUGAAAAGGGGUACAUGCACAUCAUUUCUUGGUUCUCAGCAGCUGAGGACAAUUGUUGAAAUUCGAUGUGGGUAAUCUUAUAUUUGCCACAAGCUUAAGCAGUUUUGGCAUCUUUGACAACAAAUUGUUCAAGGAUAUUACUUCUAUCUUGCCACUCUUUUUUUCCCCCCCCAAUGUAAUUUCAUCAGAAUUGCUAUAGGCAACUUGAAGACUUAUCUUUCCAACAAUUUUUCCUUCAACACUGCAAGGAACACCCACACUUGUAGUUCUUUGUAUUAUUAUCCUAUUAACUUCUUACAAUCUUAAUAUUACUGAUCACAGAUAAAACCCCCCUUUAUUUCAUUACUGAAAUGUAAUAAUACAAAUUACCUGGGAAUUAUGAGGUAGGAGGAUAUAAAUGAAACAUUAUUUUAAUGAAUUGUAGAUGGAUGCAAAAACCUCACCUAAAUAAAAUAUAAACUUGCUAUAAUUAGCAUCCCCCAAGGCUUUGUGUUAUUAUGUUGCUAUAUUGUCACCUGCUUCUGUUAAAAAGGUGUCUUAGAAGAAAAUACUAAUGUGGGAAUCACAAGAUACUUCCUCAGAUAUAGAAAUCCUGAAGAUUACACUCAACACCCUGAAAGGGUUUCUCGUUCCCAUAAAGGGGCUUGAGUUCCACAGAGAAAUAACCCUUCUGCAAUGGAAGCAGAACUCCACAAAGCUCUGAUCGAAGUGCCAGACUGGCUGGCAUACACUUGAGUAUGCCACGGUUUUGGAUACACUUGAGUUUUUUAUGGGGAAAAAAAAUCCUGAACUACUUAAUUUCCUUAGAGUCCAUUUCAAACAAAUCACAGACAAUCUAUUUUAUCUGCUGUUUGUUCUGAAAGUGGCUUCUUUCAGUAUGCCCUGCUAAAAUUGUAUCCCAUUACUCCAGCAAACAGAUUAUCCAAAACAUAUUACAAUACAUCUCCUAUCCUUUACACAGCUCCUAUUCUACAUGGCAAUAUGCACUUCUAAGAACAUAAAAUGUACUUUGGUGUCAAUAUUUAAUUAAUAGCCUUGGGAUUUUGCAAUACUCUCUCUUCAGCUGCCUAUCAGAGAUAUUGUAGAAAGUAAUAUAUUUUUAUAAAAUUUCAGCUUGUUCACCAAAAGGAUUUGCAGGUUACAACCUACUUUUCAGACUUUUUGGAGUAACAAUUACAUCUCAUGUUCUAUUUCAAGGUGAAAUAACUGAUAAUGUAAAGUAAUUUUAAUAUUUUGUCUGGUUCUCUUGGAAACAGCUUCAUUAACAGUCUGUUACAGAAUAGUGUAUUAAUCUUAACACCUAUUGGGUUCAGGACCUCUCGAUACAAGUAUAAGUAAAAUUCAGUCAUAUGAACUUUAUAAUCUCUAUUUGCAUGGGUUUUGUCACUUUCCUUGUUGGGAUGAUUUUAUUGUUUAUUUGUUGAUUUCUACAAUCCAUUGUAUAAAUCCAAUGGAUUUAUACAAUCCAUUGUACAAAAAAAUUGGUGCUAAACUUUCCUUCUCCCCCUGUUCUGUAACAUGAGAUCAACAACCUGCUCCCUCUCUGAGCCUCUAUGACUUAAAAUUUGAGUUAAACCUUUUGUGUUUCUCCAAUUCUAGUAGAGGAAUUCCUACCCUCUUCUACAAUAAACACCAGCUCUCACUUUCCAUCUAAAAAUUCCUUUAGUUAAUGUCUUUUAAACUUGAAGGUAUCGUGUCUUUUUGAAAUCCCUCACUGGAAAUGGUGGUCCAUGUUACUGGUCCUUUCUUGGAUCUCUGGUAGUUGUGGAAGAGGUUUUUGUAAGUUCACAGCCUUCUCACACAUUGCUGUGUUAAUAAGGACUUUAUCUGUGGCCACUGAGAAACUUACUGUAGCUCUGAUCUAAUUUUUACAAAUUUCUUCUGCUCUUGCUUUAAAUUACCUCAGUCAUUUCAUUUUUAUAUCAUGAGCAAUUUAAUUUUUUCCUGACUUGGUCUAAUGAAAAUUGUCAUUUCCAAUUUCCCUUCUUCAUCUUAUGCCAACAUUGUUUUCUCCUCUCAGAUCAGCAAUAUUCUGGGUUUUCUGGUGGUGGCGGUGGGAUUUUUGGGUUUUUUUUUUCAGGAAAUUCUUUUCUUCUAGUAUAAGAGAAAAGUCACAGAGGGCUCACAUAAAUUCUAGUGCCUGUUAAAUUACUGCAGAUGUAAAAUGUGUUCCAGGGCUUGGUAGGACUAAAAUGAGACAGAUUUCUACUGACAAUAUUGUACCCUCAUGCCAAUAAGAAAAUUGUAAAUAUUGUUUCUCUUGACUUCUUUACUAAGUUGUAUGUGUGAUUUUUUGAGCCAUUUUAGACUUUAUAAAAUAUUUGUCAAGUUAACUGCAUUCCUCAGUAAAAUGUAGUUCCAGAGUUUUUCUUAGAAUUAAUUUUUACCACUCCUACUGUCUUUCAUUUCAAGAUUCUCACUGGCUUUAUUACUGACUUCUGUUAUUACUGUUUUUUACUGACUGGUAGUGCCUACUGAUUUGAUUUUCCAAUAUGUUCACGUCUGUAUUCUUUGCUUUAAAACAAUAUACACAGCAGAUAAAUGGAGUGUGAUUUAUUAUUCCUGUGUAUAUCUAUUAUAAAACUCGAGGAGUGAUGGUUCACCAAGAUCACUGUCAAAGUCAGUGAUGAUGUAAAAAAUUUAUCCUUUAUUUCCCAGUGAUUGGGAUGUCCACUCCUGUUGGUGAAAGAUACAAUCAGGAAUAUUCUGUAUUGUUAUAAUUUCUAGUAUGUCCGUUAUACCUAUCUUCACACAAGGUGGAAGGAGAUUUUUCAUUGUGUCUGUUUUAUGUGUUUUCAUGGUUUAUAUCCUGAUGCCAGAGCAGUGCAGGUUUAUAUUGUGCUCCACUUAUAUCUGACUGGUAAAAAGCUGUUACUCUGAGUGUAUGGCUUAUUUAGACAGAAGGUUUUCAGUCAGGGCCGGAGACACACUGAAUCUCUGAAAUUUCAAAGUAGAUGGUACAAUAAAAACUGGGAGAAAACCCAUGUCAAGCUGGAAUAAAAAAGACAAUGUGAAGAGAGAUUGUGCUGUUGAGCUGUGUAAUUAAGCAGUAUCUGAUGCCUACUGUGUAAAGCUGAGGUUCUGGACAUAGGAGUGGUGUGUAACUGCAUGUCACCAGUUCUUUGGUAAAUGAAAAAUUAAAAUGCAUGUUAUCCUACAGUAUAUGUUCAUGGAAAUAUGAGAUGAUUAUCUAUUGCUUUCUUUUAAUUAUGAAAGGAUUUGAACAGAAAUCCUCUGCUAAUGAGGACAGAUAGGAGCAUAUCCCUCAUUGGUAGAUAGACAUGUUUUGUAUUACCACUAAGACAAGAAAUGUGAUGGGAUGCUAAACUCCCCCCAAAAAUGUGCGAACUGAACUGUAACUCUUGAGGACUUCUUUUACUGAAGAGUUCAUUCAUUACUAACAAGACCACUAUACUAAACUGCUCAUUCUAAUUGUGGAAAAA